GAAAAAGGCUACAUCACAAUGUAAAGCUGUCCCCAUGCUCUUCUGCUGUGAACCUCACCUUUAUUACAUGUGACGCGUAUGUGGCAGUGCAGGCAGUGUGUUGCAAAGGAGAGUUGUAGAUUGAUAGGGAGUUCUUGCGGAUUUCUACUGUACCACUGCUUUCUACGUUCUUCGCUGAGCCUGACGUCAACACGAUUGAUUGAGAUCUUCAGUAGAAAAGGCGGGCAAUCCGGAAA